rnacentral:rRNA from 1 species
GACGAACGCGGCGGCGUGCCUAAUACAUGCAAGUAGAACGCUGAAGGAGGAGCUUGCUUCUCUGGAUGAGUUGCGAACGGGUGAGUAACGCGUAGGUAACCUGCCUGGUAGCGGGGGAUAACUAUUGGAAACGAUAGCUAAUACCGCAUAACAUUGACUAUUGCAUGGUAGUCAGUUAAAAGGUGCAAUUGCAUCACUACCAGAUGGACCUGCGUUGUAUUAGCUAGUUGGUGGGGUAACGGCUCACCAAGGCGACGAUACAUAGCCGACCUGAGAGGGUGAUCGGCCACACUGGGACUGAGACACGGCCCAGACUCCUACGGGAGGCAGCAGUAGGGAAUCUUCGGCAAUGGACGGAAGUCUGACCGAGCAACGCCGCGUGAGUGAAGAAGGUUUUCGGAUCGUAAAGCUCUGUUGUAAGAGAAGAACGAGUGUGAGAGUGGAAAGUUCACACUGUGACG